CUGCAUCCUUUUUUUUCAGUGAGGAUACUGGAGACACUGAUGAAAGUCUUGCUAUAAUCAAGGGAGCAGGGGGAGGAGGAGUGAUUCUGCUCUGAGAAAGAAAGAACAAGGUCUUUAAUGAAUAUUCACUUCUCAGGGACAUGAUAUGAUUCAGUCAACGUGGCUAGAUGACAGAACCCAUCUAGAUCCUCAGGGAUAAUUACGACAGAAGGACUAGCUAAGAACCAGUCACAACAGGCAAUUCUACGCUGAAGAAGAACUGCUACCUUCUAAUACCUCUUCCUACCAAACCUUGGAAACCAGGCGCCAGGCGUUCAACACAGAGGUAACCCUCUGCUCCCAUCCGUACUAGCUUCAAAACUGAGGAGUUAUCACAGUGGGCAGAGCAGGUUUGCUUUUCCCAUCCCUGUGAAAAUCUCCUUAGAAGCACAGCAUAUCCCAAGCCUUCUUUCUGAAGGGCACAGAAAAGACAGGUGAAUGAAUUUAUUGGAUGUCUUGGACAACUCCUGUAGAAGGCGUGCAGUGAGUACCUGAGGUAGGUAUUUGUUGAUUAGGUACCCAGAACAUAGCAACAAUCAACUAACAAGACAAGACACAUGCAUUAAGCUGUUUUCUCCAUUCUAAAACUCACCAAAAAAAAAAAAAAAAAAAAAAAAAAGCUGUUUGGUUGAUCCUUGUUGGUUAAUUUGAGUUAAAAAUGUACAGUACUAACACAUGGUACUGCAAGUAAUGGGAGAAGCGUACAAAAAUUAUCACAGGAGAGAGUAUGAAGUAAAUGUAAUCUGUAUAUUGCUGUCGCAGACUUUAAAGUCAAUCCAUCUUUAACAAGAAGCUGGAAAAUUCUUCCAUAGCCAUUCAUAACUGCGUGGCCUGUAUUCUCUUCCCAUCCUGUGUAAUGUUUUGUCUCAUUACUACCUUCUGGAUUGAUCAAAAUGGUUAGACUCCACAAAACAACAAGAAUAACAACAACAACGACAACAACAACUAGUUUGUGUUUUGGAGGAUAUCAAGGGAUACCAAGUUCAUAAAAGCUACAUCUGUGCAUCAUUCUUGAGAAAUAUUUGCAGCGCAGGUGGUGGGCGGCUGGCAGGCAACAACAAGAAGUAUCACAUGUGUUUGCUUUGCUCAUUUGCUCUUCCCCUCUGGUCUUCUCACACUAUUAGAGGUAGUAUACUGGGCUGGACAGGGCCUUCAUUUCACCACUACAGCUGUUCUCAUGUUUGUAAGUUAUGGGACUUGAAGCAUUUAAAAAAUCCAGAAAGCAAUGGCUUGUUGCCCAAGUACCGUGUGCGGUUUGUUUUCAUCUUCAAAAAAAAAAUGUCAAAAUUCAAGAUGUUCGCAAGGAGUAGCAGAAAUUUUGCAAGAAAGCAGCUUCUAGAGUGCACCAGAUUCAAAGGGCUGGUGGCGGUUUGAUUGUUUUCAGUACCACUGUUUGAAGUGUUAUAUAUAACUAACUGUUUUAACACUUUCCAGGUUCCUUCAUCAUGAAAUUUAUGUUGCAGCAGAUUAGACAGAAGAUUGGACAUCCUCUGAGGUGUUAAUGGUAUGUAUGUUUACUAAAUCUCUCUCUCCUUUUUGAUCUUCCAUCAUAAUACGCAUACUGCAAUAAACACUGUAGGCUCCAUGGGAAUUGACUGGCAGCUGCUUGGGUGGCUUGGAAAGGGUUUGUCUUUCAGUCCUAAAAAAAAAGUAUAGUCAUCUACUGGAACUUUAGAAACAUUCUGUUCCAAGUUGGAAAUUUUCAAAUUCCUCACAGGUUUCAGGAAACUCCAGAACUGUCAAUAGAGACUUACAUGCAUUUAUAAUUAGAAAAGCAUAAGUGCUGUGUAUUGACAAAUAUCCUGACAGGAGAAAAAAUGCAAGUGGAAUAUUGCAACUACCCAAAACAAGGCAAAGAGCUGUAAAAAAUUUGGACUUUUUGUGAUGUUAUUGAAUGCAGAUGGUCCAUUUGGCUCAACAGCAUGACGGUUAUAACAUUCAACUCAUCUCCCUCUACACACUCAAAUCCCAGUGAUAGGAUACUAUGGUAGUCAAAACAAUGUCCAUCUCAAGGCUGAAAAACAAUCUCUGGUCACUCCACAACUUGUACGGGUGUACUUUCUCUAUAUAAUGGGCAUUCAAAGUGUUGGACUGGAGCAUAGUAUCAUACUGUACUGUACCCUAAACAAAGCUCAAGCUGCUACUCUAUCAUGCCAAGGGAGAAGUUUUCUUAGGGGUAUGAGAACAUAGGUGACAAAUACACAGCAAGGAGAAAGAGAGACCUAUAGAUCAUAGGCCGAUACUAAGGCAUGGUUGACUGUAACAAGUUUCCUUUGACAAAAUUUGAGCUAAUAACUCAGAAAAUGACUGUCUUAACCACUUUAACAGCACACGGGGAUUCUAUUUUUCUUCUACUAGUUGUAAGUUCUAGUGGAUAUAGCUGGUUUCAGUGAAUAAUGUAUUACAAGAGCAGGUCCUAAAGACCAGUAAACCCUCACGCUCUGGGAACAGGUCUGUGACAAGGCUGCCGGGUGACACAGAGUGUCAAGAGACAAAAUGACAAAAAGAAACAUUUAGCUAACUUUUAUAAAUAGGUAUAAAUAUUUUUAUGUACAUGGUGCAUUCUGGUAGCAUUGUAAAUUCUCUCUCAUCUAGGAAAAAUAUAAUUUUUUUAUAUUAAUUUGGGGUUUACACAGUUUAUAGAGAAUACAUUCAAGAAAAAAAAAUCUUGGAACAACAACACAAGACUGCAACAUGGAGACUAAAGAGGUUAACUCCAAGGAAAUAGAAAAAAAAUGCAAUAUCUGGCACUUUCUCUAUGAUGUAAAGUGCAUGUUAUUCUCAUUUAGCAGACGAGAGCUGACUUGAACAAUAGAAAUAUUUGUUAAUACAUUCUGUUCCACAGUGACUGUUAAAAAUAUUUGCUGCAUUUUCUUCUUAGAUGCUGAAGCUCUCUCAUUUCACACCUUUUCCCAGAUUUAAUCUCUGCAGCAUUAUUUAUGUGGCAAUAUUAUACUCAAUUUACAAAUUACAGACUGCUGCAAAAUGGAGCUGCUCUUUUCCCUAGAGGUAACAGCAACAGUUACAUUAAUCUUCUUUUAAAAAAUUAUUCAGGGGCUUUCAACAUGCUGCCAAGAACUCCCUCCCAGAUUCCUUUGUAGUCCUGUUUUUAAUUGUAAGAAUAUCUGCAGAAAAUAUAACAUGUAAGGCCUGGGUCCCAGUGGAGCUCCAUGCUGGCACAGGUCCUGCAGUGAGCACCAGAUGGGUGGAUUUCAGUUUAUUUUAUCUCUUCCAGAUCAAUCCUCUAUGUAGAUCCUGACCUGUGAACAUGGUUCUUCACUGGGUCAGAAUGUGUCCAGUGUUGCAGCACGUUUGGCUAGGAAAUCUCCAGUCUGGGGCAAAUGCUGUUAUGUACCCAGGCACUUUCCAUCACUGUGAGCCUCAGAGCCCUUUCCUGGUCCUUCUGCUUCUGCCCUAGCUGUGACUUGAGCACCACGGCCUAAUGAUGGCCAACAAAUCCCUGGGUGUCCUAAUUGUUCCUGAGGUGUUCAACACAGCCUGAUGAGAACCAAGAGCUCAGCAUGAGCCAGCAGCGAGAGGAUUAUCUCUCCUGGCUGGAGAUGAGAUGGCUUGUUUGGGUGAGAACCUGUCUCAAGCACAAAAGAUCUGAUGAGAUGAAGUGAUGGUCUCUUCUGAUUUAAUUUCUAAGACAACGACAUUCUCAUGCAUUUCUCAACAGUCAACCACCAACAAUAGGCAUGUACACACUUGCCAGUUUGUACUGCUAAGAGAAAGUUCUGCCAGUGUUGGGCUUUCCCAGGGGAUCUCAUCCAAUAAUUCCUUUAACAGCCAGAAUUUCACUCUCCUGAAUUUCAGGAUUCUGACUCUGCUCUUUGCCAGGCCCGUAUUCCUCAAAAUCACAAACUCAGCCAGGGCAUGGUCUCUACAGCCCAGGCUGCCUUCAGUCUUUACCUCCUUAAUGAGCGCUUCUACAUUAAUGAACAAUGAGUCCAGUAAUGCUUUACCUCUGACUGGUCUGUCCAAUACCAGAUAGUGUGGUCAGGCAUGAAAAUGUUUGGUCAGCUUACGUGGAGAUAAAUUUUUUUCUUCUUUAAGGUUUGUUACAAGAGCCUUGCAGUUGACUUUGUCUCCUAACACUGAAAUAUGGUUCUUUUCCAGAUCUCCUCUAGCAGAUUUCCCAUGGAAGGAACUCCCAAGUGUUUGAGUGUUUUUGUCCAAAUGUGGUCCAUAUCAGUUCUGCCUCCUCAAAGUCUUCUUAGCCCAAACUGAGCUUGUAGUCAACUCAGACCAUACCAACCAGCUGCUUCCCUCCCCCCGACCCCACCCCAGUUUUGCAUAGGUUUUGCAUAGGGAAAAACAGGAUGAAAUCCAUGUAAUAAGAGAAAUGUCUUCUACAAAUAUACAUGAGGAACAAAAGGAACUUCUGUAAGUCUAUUACUUGAUGUUGAUGGUUUAAAGUGCUAGUAAUGAGACGUUAUGAGACAGAUGCAUUCAAUAAGUAUUUCUGUUCUGGUGGAUCAAAGCUGGAAGGAAGUAUGAAUACAUUAUGAAGCUGAUGAAAUGUUUUCUGGUCUUACAGUAAAAUGGGUGAAUGCAAGUCAACUCAGAUCUGUGUCAGCAAGGCUCUAUAAAAUGGCACCGAGUCUUCUUAAGGCAGCAACUCAGGAAGUUGUACUUUCUCUAGGCAGGUAAUGAAUGCUGAGCUUGUACCCAGAGGUCAGAGGUAUGACCCAAUUAAUAGUAAGCUGGUUGGCCUAGCUUACUACUGGUCUUGGGAUCAGCAUGUAGGAAAUGGCUGAUACUGAAGACAAAAGUAAAAUCUGUUCCAAUUAAUUUAACUUUAGUGGAAUUUGAGCUUGUCAAGUCAUCCUAGUACCUCUAGUUGAAAAAACACUUCAAGAUCAGAACUGUGAUGAAUUAGUCAUCUGACUGUAAAAUUUUUUAAUAUACCAUUUUUAGAAGAUGCUACUUGAUUUCAACAAAGAUAUCUUAUGGGCAAUUAUCAGUGGGGAAGUCUUUCCAGAAGGGAAUCACUCAUUUCUCCUUUCCACCCAACACAAUCUGUUUUUAAAUCACAAAUAACACAUGAACAACUGCAAAUGCACUUUUAAGAUAGUACGAAAUGUGAAAAAAUAAAGAUGACAGUGCUUUUGUUUGAAAGUGAUCAGACUCACUUCAUAACCUCGGUUCAACCAAAUGCAACCAAAACAGUUCGUCCUUAGAAACAAGAGAGCAUGAACUGUUUUUACAGGAUUGGGUACUGUAUCACAGAAAGCUUGAAAAGGUCUAUGGGGAUUGUCACAUGUAAUCAACUGUGCAUGAACUCCUACUAUAAUCUCAUUAUUAAAACAGUUACAGUGGUCACUGGAAGUACAGAGAUGGGGGCUGGGAUUGGGGAUGCAGUAUUCUGUCUGUGUAAGGAAGAAAUAGGGCCACUUUUGCAGUGGCUGCUGAAGUGGAUAGAGGAGCCAAGGGAGAAAUAGUUAAAGGAUCAGGACCUUCACAUAGGACACAUUUAUUCCAUGAUUAUUUCAUGAUGGAUUACCCCAGAAAAUAGCUUCCAAAAGUUUUUCCAUGAAACAGCAGAUCAUGCAGCUCCUCUGCUGGACCCUCCCUUAAGUCAUGUUUUCUGGAUUAUGUUCCAGAGGAAAUCAGUAGGGGUUGCAGCUUUCUGAGGUGAGUUUAGUGUUGGAUACCUGCCUAUGUGCUGUGACACGCUGCCUUGGCUAAUAAAUCGUGACCUCUGUGGUUAUAUCGGUCAAAUGCUUUCUCAGCCAGAGCAAUUCCCAGCAAAUCAGUGGGCUCCUUUCACAGUGCCCAUCUGACAAGCACGGGGUAGCGCACAGAUGGUUUAGAUAUAAAAAAGAAUGUUGCAUCAGUACUGUAUGUGUGAAAUGUUUCAAUUAUUCCUAAAAUAUUUUUAACGUGUUCCAGAUUUAUCAGGAAAAAUGUUUAGGAAGUAAUUGGAGUUUAUUCUGUUUUUAAUUUUGGUAUAGUAUAUUAUAAUAAACACAUGUUCAAAAUACAUUUUAGGUAUCACCAAAUAUUUAUAAAAUGUGUAUAGGUGGAAAUCCCAAGGUCACUACAGUAGCUUUAUUUUGCCAGUCUGUUUACAAGGAGAUGAGUCAUUAAAACCUAUGGCUGUUUCUAUCUGUACCGAGAAUCCUUCUCCUGCAGGCAGUGGAUAACCUAUUGGUUUUACAUAUUCAUGUAAGAUUAAGCUUUCUCUGAUUGCAGAGGUUGAAUUUAACCCUCCCUCAUAUUAUUUGUAAUAAUAAAAACUUCUAGUGGUAUUUCCAAGUGGACAUAUAUGUCUCAUAUUUAACAUCUGAUCAUAUUACCGUCAUUUUCCACUAUAACUAAAAGAUGAAUUAAAUAAAUGAGUAUCCCAAGCAAUUCUGUUUAGGAAAUCAGAUGAAAGAUGGUGUCAUACUUCUUGAAACACACAGUGGGCUUUUGCAAUUAGAACUAAUUGGUAUGUUGUGUGCAUCACUACCUGCCUUAAGAAAUACUGACGAAGCUUCGGGGUGGGAUGGGUGUUCUAUGGGGCUGGGGGUGAGACUGGGGGCGGGGGGGAUCUGUGGGACUGGGAGGUGGAAUUGUUCUACUAGGGAACACUGUUCCAUUUGUUUUAAAACAAAGAUUGACUGUUUGCUUUUGAUCUCCUUCUUGUCCUUGGAGAUUUCAGGUGUGGAAAAAGGCACACAUUUUCCUAGCCUGAAGAGUAAAAUAUUGCCCUCCACAAUUCUCAUUACCUUAAGUGAACUCAGUUUAUAUUUUUUGUUGUUGUUUUAUUUUUCUUUAUCCAAAGUUUAUUCAAAGUAUUCAUUAAGAAAAUCUCGAUGUAGAAACACCUUGCAUUAACCAAAGCAAAGUUGGUUUCAGUGCCCAAGACCAAGAUGCCUAAUCUCCUCCUUGCCCCAGCUGUUAGGGACAAGCAUGUUUUCCGUUUCAGCUCACAGAACAGUUGCAGUGUUGGGGGGAUGAGAAAACAGACAUGGGUUGAUCUGAGAGCAAAGAUUUGUGGUGGUAGAGCAAGACUGGCAAAGGAGGAGCCAGUGCCAUAUACAGAAGUAGCUGCAAACCCAAGAUUCCCUCAAAACGUGAUGACAUACAUGUGUAGACAUGUACUGUUUCAGCAGGUAUUGUGGUGCCCCAAAGAAACAUUUUGAAAGAUGAAAGCAUUGGGGAUUUUUGUUUUCACUGUUUUUCCUCACUUUUUUUAAGUAAAAAUGUUAAAUUCAGCUCUGUUAGAAGAUUAAGCUCAAUCCCAAACAAAAUCUAGACAUCUAGGCUGUACUGACUCCUGCUGCUGUCUUAGGAAAUAUUGACUUUUCUGAAAGAAAAACUAUUUCCUCAAUUCUAAUUUUCAUUAAAAACAUACUGUAGUACAGAUGCUGUUUUGCAAUAUUCUUUUAAUCUCUGUGGAUUUAUUUUAUGUGUUUACUCCAACAGAAAAUUCUUAUUAGCAACGAUUCUUCAACUCUUUCUCUUACCUCAGUGGUGUGGCUGACCCCUCUGUAUGCCUCAUCUGAAGGCUCACCAUCCACUGACAGUAAUCUGAGGAGGUCUGGGGACAGCAAAUGAUGGCUGAACUUGAUGAUCACAGGGGUCUUUUCCAACACCAAUGAUUCUAUAAUUUGAAUGACUUUUGACAUUGAAAGGCUGUUACACCUGUGAUCACAAAUACCUUAUGUCCAUGAUAACAUUGGAAAUCUUGUUCAUUUUGCACCACUUCCAGAAAACAGCAAGAAGCUGUAUAAAAGUAUUUCAAAAGGAAGGAGCUGGUGAAGCAAGACAGCAAUUUGGUUUAUUUAUCAGUGUUAGUAAUCCCAUUCCAGCCCAUGAAGCCAGCAAGUAUGGUUCAUAUUGAGAAUAUCUAUGUGAAAAGUAAUGGCAAAUUAUGCAAAUAAAUUGGCUACAAUAAGACUUUUUCACUCUUUUUUUUUCAGUAGUUUAUCAUGCUGCAGUCUAAUCAAGAUAUGGUAAAGGGUGGUACAGACAUUAUUCAGGAACUUAAUGCCACAUAAACCUAAGCAAUUCAUUUUUCUAACAUUUUAAAUUGUCUGCAGAUAUACAGAUAGAGACUAACUGUAGUAAGUCCACAUUAAAUUCAUUUUAAACAAAUUUCAAGCCUAAUUUAAGAAAAUCAUGAUCUCCACUCACACUGAAGUGUGGUUUCACUUUGACAUCAGCAAAUCUAUACUGCUUGGAAAGAAAAGCUGUUUCAAGGGCUGAGCUGCUAGUUGGAACUCAGGAAUCCUGACACCACUCCAAGCCUCACAAACACGGGACCUUGGAGAUGUCAUUGGGAAUGGAACUCACCCAAAUGCACAAACCAAAAACCCAGGUAGCUGAGUUGGGUCUGGGUAUCCUCAGCAGUUAAAUGGAAAGAGAGUGACUCCUCUCAGGCUGAGAUUGGAUUCCUCGUUUUCAGAGGGUGUAAAUUAGUGUUGUGUACCUUGACUUCAGCAAGGCUUUUGUUGUUUCUCCCACAAUAUCCUUGUAAUGAAGCUUAGUAAGUGUCAGAUAGUUAAGUGGACAGUGAGGUGGAUUGAGACCUGCCUGACUGGCAGAGCUCAGGUUGUUACAAUCAACAGUGCAGAAUCUAGUUGGAGGUCUGUAACUAGCAGUGUUUCCCAGGGGUUGGUGCUGGGUCAGGUCUUGUUCAACAUCUUCAUCAAUGACCUGAAUGAACACUCAGCAAGUUUGCUGAUAAUACUAAACUGGGAGGAGUGGCUGACACACCAGAAGGCUGUGCUGCCAUUCAGAGUCCUGGACAGGUUGGAGAGUUGGGUGGAGAGGAACCUGAUGAGGUUCAUCAAGGGAAAGUGCAGAGUACUACAGAGGGGGACAAAUAACUGUGUGCAUCUGUACAGGUUAGGGCCUGACCUACUGGAAGGGAUCUCUGCAGAGAAGGACCUGGGUGUUCUGGUGGACAACAGGUUGGCCAUGAACCAGCAGUGUGCCCUCGUGGCCCUGUUGAGGCCACACAUGGAGUGCUGGAUCCAGUUCUGGGCUCCACAGUUCAAGAAAGAUGGAACUUCUAGACAGAGUCCAGCAAAGGGUCACAAAGAUGACAGGGAGCCUGGAGCAUCUUCCAUAUGAGGAAAGGCUGAGAGAUCUGUAGAACAGAAGACUGAGAGAGGAACACCUAACUUCAUAAAUAUCUGAAGUGUGGGAGUCAAAUGGAUGAGGCUAGGCUCUUUUCAGGACAGACAGAACAAGGGGUAAUGAGCAAAAACUGCAACAUGGGAGGUUCCAUAUAAACAUGAAGAAGAAUUUAAUUGCUAUGAGGACGACAGAGCACUGGAAUAGGCUGCCCAGAGAAGAUGUGGAAUUUCCUUCUCUGGAGAUCUUCAAAACCUGCCUGGAUGCUUUCCAGUGUGACUGAAUGUAAGGAACCUGCUUCAGCAGGGGGGUUGAACUCGAUCCCUUCCAACCUUUAUGAUUCUGUGAUUCUGUGUAACAUACACAUGCACUGGACUCACUGCCGUGCUGCAUAACUGUAACUGUAAGUGGAAUCUCCCUGCACCUUGUCUAUGAAGCAUUGGUAACAACACACACUUUGUCUCAGUCACAUUGUCGGAAGGAAGGUGCUGAAAGUUGUGACACUCUCAGCAUGGACCUUCCCUGAGGUGACACCAAGACAUCUGGACUGGCCUCAGAGCCAGAGCAGCCCCUCUGUGUGGCCCUGUGAAAAGGCCAACUUGAUCACCUGAGUGCUGUGGGACCUCAGGAAUGCAGGCAGGUGCCUGCUGCAGGGCUGUGUCUCACAGACAUGCCGAUGUGCCCCAAGCCAGUGCUGGUAUCUCUAACUCCACAGGAGAGACAGGCACACCAGGAGUUUUCAGGGUUAAUUCCUGAGCCAUCCUUUUUGCAAGUGGCUUAAUCCUGCACCAAACACAUCUUGGUGGCACUUGCACUGCUGCUUCAGAGUCCCAUGAGAGGAUAAGGACAGUCUCAGCUUGCUCCCGAUGCUGAGGGUUGCACUCAUGCCUGCAGGAGCACUUUUCUGCCUGUGUGUAGGGUUUGAAAGAAGCAGUGGCUUUAUUGUCCCCAAAUCAAAGCUGCAUCUAAAUAGCUCUGACAAUAGAAACAAUUUAUGCGCAUAAACAUUAGUUGCAUGCUUUCUAAUUACAAGAUCAGGCACUUCAUACAGCCAUUACUGUAAUACUUCUAAACAUCCAUGAGUUUACUAACUGAACCCUGCUGAGGCUCACAUUAACACUUAGUAAAUGGACUAUUCAGAAAAUGGCAUGGUAAGAGUUACACCUCUAAGUAAUAUUCUAUAGAGCUGCAUACAAAUUGUAACCACAUUUUCAUAAGUGAUAAAAUGUUUUAUCCUCUUUUGAAAAAUAAAUGCCAUAAAAGCCAAAUGCAGUUCAUAAUGACAAAGGCAAGGAAGGAUACAGCUAGGCAGCGUUCAAGAGGUUUGGAAUUCACAUUGUUGAGUUGGAUGUAAUGUAGAAUCUGGGCACCUAAAUACCCUUGUGGGUCUGGCAAGAAGUUCUUGGCCACAAAGUAUGGGCAGGGAAAUGGAAGAAAAUUCAGAGUUGCUAAUGUGGUUCUACUUUAAGGACUAGCUAAGUGAAACUGGCACCUGUAUGAUGUUAGUGAGACUCCUGAGCUUAUUCCACACGCCUUGCUUUCUUAAGUGAUGAAAAACCCUUUUUUGAGGCUGGUUCAUCAGUAAGAAAAGGAUGUCCCAGGUCCCAGUGUACUUCACUCAUGUGUCCCCUUUCUCUUGCAUGGCUGUGACAGAACUUCAUUCCUUCUGUAAAGCCUUUAUCCAUGUUAAUACAAACUAGUGGGAAAAAAAAAAAAAAAAGGAAUUUUUUGAAAAGAAAAAAAAUGAUCUGUUUUUUCAAACAAAAGAUUUUGGGAGAAAAAAUGUUUUACUGAGCAAACCACGUUAAAAAAACACAAGUCAUGUAACUAAGAAAAGAUGGAGAGAGACAUUGAAAAGUUAGGAAAACCCAAGCAUUCCCUAUUUUCCACUUUGAUAUAUUCCAAAAGAUUAAAAAUCUCAAGUCAGAUAAGUAAGGUACCCUGACGUAUGGCUUUGAUUAAAAAAGAACAUUCCAAAAUAGAGGAAGAAAUAGAAAGUUUCUUCAUGCAUGCGUCCCCACUUUAGGUUGCUGCUGUAUGAAAGGAGAAGACAGAAAGCAAAACCAGAAAAAAAAAUGUUAUAAGAUCUCUUCCUGAAAAAACACUAGAAAUUAUUGUUUCUUUUUCUAGAAAAAGAGUGCAUGUCCUCUUAGUCAUAAUUAAAAUAGGCAAAUUUGGAAGGAAUAUAAAUGUUUCUGCUACAGGACGUAUCAACAGAUAAAUAGUUAAAUGGACAAUUUGUGAACAAUUAGCCUGUAGUUUUCCUGCUUGCAAUGUUUCUUCCAUUCUCCAAAAUCACUGCUACUGCCCAAUCAGGAGGAGCUUUUCUGGCCCAAAAGGGUGGGCUGAACCCUUUUUUUGGAUGAAGCAGCUCGCAUACUUUGGCAAAUGCCUACACUAGAAAAUGAAAACCACCCCUAGAACUCUCCAGUUCCUAAAGUUUCUUUGCUCCUAGUUUAAUCCCUUCCCACAACUGUCCCUGAAAGCACAGCAUGAGUUUGUCCUUUUCUAUUGACAAACAGCAAUGGGGCUGAGUAGACGUGCCUACUCCAAAACCUACAUGACAUGAGCAACCUCUACAAGAUUUUAGUCAUACCCUUCACAUCUGAGCUCAAAAUAAUUCUUUCUCCAUUUCUCCAAAACAAUUGUAGGCCACAUGGCAAGUAGAAAAUAAAUAACUCCAUCUUACCACUAACCCUCCUUUUUGGCUAAAUGGAUGACUGCAAUUGCACAGCCUGCAGAUUUUCAAAGCAUUGUGCUUCUCGAAGCUGGCGAGCAGGAGACGAACAUAGUGCUGUGAGAUGCCUUUACAUAUCUCUACAGCAUUUCUACUGAAGGGAGUUAUAGCAGCUGCUCCUUUAGAGAGGGAACUUGCGUCUUGGAGCUGCUCAAGUGGGAAACAAUUCCCAGGCCAGCCCUGCCAUGACGCUGUGGGCGAUCGCCAAUCGAUUCCAGGUGCAGCUCACCAAGUACAGCAUGUCCCAGAUUUCUCAUGGAUGAGCUGGUGCCAUUCUGAGACUUUCCACCGCUUGAACAAAGCUAAAAGUUAGCUUUUCUACAGAGAGUUGUGCUUACACAUGGGAACAGUAAUUUUGUCACCAGUCUCAAUAUGCUUAGGCAUCUGAUCUACCCUCGUGUUUAUGAUUCUUCCCAUCUUUCAUUUUGAUUUUAUAUCCUCAUCCCCGUGGGAGUCUUUUGCAAAAUAUUUUAUAGGCAGAGGGAUUAUAGAACGUGGUGCCAAUGAAUAAGGCAGCAUCCAGAAUCAGCCUGUCAUUGCAACAUAUUGUGUGUUUCAAGAAAGAGCUCCACCACCAGCACUGCAAAGGCAACUUCUGCAGGGGGGCUGUGAGAGAAGGUGCAAAGAAAAUGAAGCCACUUUUUUUCCAGUGGUUCCCUGCGUCAGGCAAAGAGGCAAUGGGCACAAACUGGAGCACAGGAGGUUCCCUCUGAACACCAGGCAGCACUUUUUUUCUCUGUGUUCACUGAAAACUGGCACAGGCUGCCCAGAGGAGCUGUGUGAACCUCUUCCUUGGAGAUCUCCAAAAGCUGCCUGGACAUGGGUCUGGGCACCCUACUGUGGGUGCCCCUGUUGGGCAGGGGUUGGGCCAGGUGGACCCAGAGGUCCCUUCCAACCUCAGCCAUUCAAUGAAUCUGUGCCCUGUCACAAGCCUGUUUGAUCAUCCUCAUCACUGGUUAGGACUGCACUGUUUUGUCUUCUCCUCUUGUUCCAGGCUCCUGGCUCAUGUAUGUAACAGUAAAACAAACAUGACCUCAAUCCCUAGCAUGGGAUAGUGCAGCCUGAGCAGUUCCUUUGUUCUCCUCAUGAGGCUUUUUCUGGUGCCAACCCAACCUUUCCAAAGGUAGGGCCAGGAUCUUCUUGCAGGAAAACCAAGGCCAGGAGUUGCUGCUGGUAGACAGCAGGAACAAAGGUGCCCUUUUUGGGGCAAGGACAAGAGUGUGUCUGCAUGUGCACUGUGACAGGCAGUUGCUCUUGAAGCAAAGGGUCCAUACGUUGUUCCAUAUGGUACUACAAAUUUCAGAUGCAUGCCAGUAAGUUAGAGAUGGCCUCUCUCAAAAACAUAUUGUGGUGUAGUAACUAGAGAAUUUUCUCCAUAACAGGAACCUGGCAGUACAACCCAUUGACCCAGGACGAGUGUUUUUUUUAAGUGCAUUUUGCCUCACCUCCAGUGCCAACUGCAGACAUACUUUCUGACAACCUGAAAAAGAUUACUUUAACCAGGAAAAAAAAAUAAGGGAUGUGAGAGCAGAGAAAGAAGUGCAGCUUUUCUUGUGCUGUGACCAUUUCUUAACUUUGAGUGAAAAAGCACUUUCAAUUUUCCCAUGGUAUUAGUCUAAUUUGUCUGAAGAUCUGUUUGUGAUUUGUGGAAGAUGUUCGUUAAAGCUAAUGUAAAAGGUAAUACUGGGAUUUAAUCCUCAGGGCUUUAGCAAAUAACCACUAUCUUUUAAUAGGAAAUGGGUGGCAUGUUGGUUGUCAACUCUAAUUUCUCCUCUAGUCUGAAAUCUUAUCCAUACUUUUUCUAUUACCCAAUACUACUAACUUCUACAGAAACACAGUAUCUGCUUUUUGCGCAGGACAAAUGCAAAACGUCAAACCUUCAGCUGAGGUUCCUCAUCUUUUAGAAGAGCAUCUGGUAAAGCAUCAAAGCAGAGGACAAAGUUAACAUUUGAAAAGGCACUCUCAGAACACCCAUUGCUCCUGUGGUUUGUGCAUUAUACUAUUUUCCAAGAGAUCUGGAUUUGAUGUCUUGUCCUUUGCUUUCUGGGGUGAGGAAAGCUCUGAGCCCUUUGAGAGUGGUGAGGGGCAUUCAAUAAGGAAAGAAGGGACCUACGGCGAAGAUCAAAACACCAAAACAAUACACAGAAAAAACAAGAGAGAGCCAAGAAGACUCAAUCCUACGGUACCUAACAAUAAUUUUUUAAGGCAUGAGUUUGUCCAAUGUGUUGUUUAUUCAUCCAAUUUAUUAUAAUGAUGAACAGCUUUAAAAUUGGAGUAGAACGCUAAUUCAUACUUUAUGUAUAAAAGAAAUGAUAGGCAGCUGUGAACCAGAGGGGCACUGGGGGAGGUCUCAGACUGUACAAGCAAAGGAAUAUGACUUGGUGUCUCUGUUAGCAAUGAGAAGUUAUAUAUUGCAAAUUAAGUAGUUCUUCCUACUACUUAACGAAAGCUGAGCACAUGUGACUGCUAUUGUCAUGCCAUAAUCAAUGUGAUGUGAAUUUGGCCUGUACUUACACUGAGCUGGAGGAGUUUUUCAGUGCUUUUGAGAACAGGAAUAGGAGUGGACUGAAGCUUCUCACUAGUCCUAAGCCAGGCAACCAGCAGGCACAUUGGCUCAGAGGCAUCGUAAGAAGCAGAAAAAAAAUGAAGGCUAUUAAUGUCACAGCACUAUUGAAAUGAAAUAGUAGUAUGGAUCUACUGACCCUCAGAGGACCAGCCAAAGGCAGAGUGGUAAAUCUUUGCCUUUUAGCCCAAGAAUGGCAAGUUGCUCCAAGCAGGUGACUCCAUACUUUUGUGCCUGAGCAACAUGCAUGACAGAGACAUAGUUUGGAUUCACUGUGGUCUUUAAAGCAGUAUUCACUGUAGUUCUACAGAGACAAAGUACAGAGGAGCUCUACCACGGGCUAAUGCAACCAGCACUUCAUCCUUACUGCUGGGCAUUUGUGGUAACAUCAGACACACUGAAAGAAACACAGAAGCAUUGGCACCUCAAUUUCCACACCAAAAAACCUAUGCCAUACACACAAAAAAGAUAUGAAAACCAGAACAUAUAUUCCAACAAAAGACAAAUCCACAUGCAGCUUACCUGAACUUAAGCACUGGUGCAAAAAUGCAUCUCAUCCCACAUUCAGUAAAAGGUUGAGCUGCAGGUGUGAAUCACAUAGGUGACUGCAAGGGCAGAUUACAAAUGAGCACGUGUUGAGGCUGUGGUUUUGCACCACAUAUGUAAUAAGAGUGCUGUUUGCACAGAUCGGUGUGAAAUUUUGCCAGUGCAACUUAAUCCAGGUUGGUUGUUUGAAUGGAAAAGAGACUGCAGGGAAUGUAGACCAACAUCUAAUAAAUCCACUGAUGAGCAGGGAAGAAGAUUUUAAGUGGGGGGAAAAAAAAACCAAACACAACCUCAUGUUUUAUAUUUUAGAAGAAGUCUUCAUUCUCAAAACCAUUCAGGAAAUCCUGCUGGACAUAUAACCAUAGACUCCCUCACUCUUUUUACAAGAGGUUUUAAAAUACCCCAGUAGUUAUUUGUGAACCAAACAAUAAUUCAGGACAAAUGUCCAUUGCCAGUCAGACCCUAAUCUUGCCUACAUACAAAACCUAACUGUAAACCCACUCAAGAAUAGGCCAGUGAUGGCUGUCAGAUUACAUCUGGGAACAGAAGAUGUGCCCUGGUAACAACAUCCCCAGACCUACCUCAGCAGUACUGCCUUGGUGCAGCAGCAACAGUCUCCUGGCUCCAUGGUGGAUGAAAGCCUGAUGCUAACCCCAAACUUGAACAUAACAUGCGGCCUGGCUCUACUAUGAGCUGUGAAGUGAUCACACGGUGAUCCAUGACCACUGCUAGACCCAAAACUUCUCAUAUCUAUAUGAUCUACUUCAGAUACAAGACUAAAACUUGAUUAACAAACACUUGCAAUUCAGGGAAAAUGCUCAGCACUGUGUUUAUAGUGAGAAUUGGGGUUAGAGAUAGGCCUAGGACAACAUGAGGAUAACUGAUGGCUUCCUGAGAGGUGUCCUAUCUAGAUAUGGAACUAAUAUGAUGGAAGCACGUAAAAGCCUGACAGAGCCGACUGUUUUUAUCUACUAUUUUGUACAGUAGCUUUGGAUUUGGGGUGAAAGUGUGAAGCAUGAGUUAUGACUGGAUCUAAUUGGGUUUGCUUAGGUUUACAACCCUUGCUAUGUUAGUCUUUUACUUCAGCAUUAAUUAGACAUGAUGUCAGGAUAAUGUAUCAUUUGGUGACAAAUGCUGAUGGACUUGAGUAAGCAAAUUUUUAGAACAAGAGCUGGGCUAAGGUGGUAAUGGGACCAGCUCAGACCUCAUAGCCACCAGACACAUGUCAGUUCUAGCUGUGGCAGCUACUUCUGAGGGAAAAUAAAAACAGAGAAAAUACAAAAGAUUAAAGGAGAACUCUGCCCAGAGUCAGCUGGGAAAAGCAGCAUCAAGGUCCCAGACCACAGUCAUCCUCUGGGACUCUCUCCAGAGCAGCAGCUGGUGAGCAUGAGAAUGAUUUUCAAGAUGCUUUUCCUCUUGUAGACUUUAUUUUCCAUUGGGACCCAUUCAAACUCUUCAUUGAGAGUUCCUGUUUAUGAUGGUAUUGGUGCCGAUCAGAGUGAGCUAAUCAAACACAAAUGUUUCAACACUAGCAAUAAUAAUUACUAUUGCCUACUUUGUUGUGCACUGUUUGGUUUUCUCCAAUACAAAUUAGCAUUUACAAACCAAAAGGCAAAGAAAAAGAGGGGAGAGGAGGUCAAUUCCCCCAGCAGGGAAGCUACUUCCCAUGAGGACCUGUCUUGACAACUUUGCCAGGAUUUGCAGGUGCAAGGACAUGAAAAUAACAGCACAAGAACAAUAGCAUAAAAACAAUUAAAGAAAAAUAUUGCCAAAGGGAGUCUGGAAAACACUGUCUGAAUGACUUCAGGAGAAGAUUUUGGAGCUGCAAAUGGCAGACCCUUAGUGUUAUGAAGACUAGUGCAAUGGGGUACUUAAGGCAGCACACGUGUGAGACAAGUACUGUUUUGUAGCAGGGUGACAAGCCCUGGAAAUGUCCGUGGAUCUCCCUGAGGGCUCCCAAGCCUUUACAAGAACAGACUGUCAGUAAGGGAUAUAAACAGCGUUCUGCUGCAGCAGGCAGGGAGGGACCUGUAGGUCUGUGAUGGGUCAGAAACAGUUCAUUCUAGUAGAUCAAGGAUUUUCUGAAUUGGGCCAGGCUAGCUUAGAUGUAGGUAUUCCCAAAGAAGUCCCUAAGGGCUUCUUCAGUACUUACUCCUGAGCCUGGCAGGCGUCACUGCUCCUGACCAAAAGGCAGGCUGGAUUUGGGUGUUUCAUUGAGACUGGAAUGGGUCAGUGGGUUACAUCUAGGGACUGCUGACAUUUUCUUUCCAGGGAUUUAAUCUUCAUCUGGUUUUCCUUUAAAAAAAGAAAUUAAAAGAAAAUAAAAUCAAUCUAGG
ensembl:lncRNA